ensembl:lncRNA
AGGUUGGAUGUUAUAAUCUUCACUAAUAAGGCCUAAUUGCCAAAAAUGUGUCGAGAGGAGAGAACCUCUUUAGAAAAGCAGCAAUGGGUUUAUGCAUACGUUCCAGCAGUUUACAGUCUGACCAUCAAAUCUGAGCCAUUACCUUUUUCUAACUAAAUGAAUGUCGGGUCAGUUUAGAGAAGGAUAAUUAGCUUUCUCCCGACUUUAAACUGUUGCUCUUCAUUUGUCUUGUGUAGAUAUGACUAUACAGGUAGCAUGUAAUAACUGAAUUCUCUACAAAUGAUACAGUAUGUAGAGUCGUCUUCCUGCAUUGAUGGUCUGGAUAGUUUUUCUUUUUGUGGCAUUGUUGGAGAAUAGGCCUGCUGUUGUAUAAAAUCUCUCUGUCUCCAUACAUAUAUAUAUUUGUGUGGAGUGUAGCCUACAAGGUAAACUGAAGACAAGAGUUUAGAUGAAUUUAACAUUCACGUUCAUCCAUUCCAUUGAGAUUGCCUUACAGUAAAACGGGGGGGAGGUCGACAGUAGAUAUGAUCACACAUACUUGUUAAUAGCCUAUAUUUGACAAAAAUGCACCUAAGCUACACCCAUUUAGUGCCAUAGAAACCUUUAUUUGCCUUUAGACAUAAAUCAUUAUUACUUGGUCAGUAACUAAUUCAGAAGUAGGCAGGGUUAUUAACAUUUUGUGUUUGGAGCUGCAUGUCCAAUUAUAUUCGUCUAAGAAAUCUGUGCAUGGGAUAUUAGUAUUUAAAUCCAAGUAUUUUGUUAACGCGUUGGUGUUUGUUAAAGUCUAUUGUAUAAUUGGACAUUUUUGAAGAAUACAAGUUGGUCCCUUUGGUAUUGGCAAAGCAAUCCCUUGGUUGGGCGUUAAACAAGGGUGAUGUAUGCGGAUAAAAGGAAAUUAUGAAAUGCCUUAUAUUUGUUUUCAAUGUUAAGCAUUAAGGGUUCUUGCGUGUUCCCUCCCUUUUCAGCGUGUAGCCUAAAGCUUGUACAAACUCAUGAGAUUUAUAUCUUCUGUACAGCGUAUGUGUUUUCAGAAUUUGUUACUUGGCGGUCCUGUGAUUGUGGUUUUAGAAAAACAUUCCCCUUUUUUGAAAGUGCCGUUUGUUUUCACCAGCAAAGGAUGUGUCUUGGGGGGGGGGGGGGGGAGAUAAUGAAUUAAGACAAAAAGAGGACAAAUGUUGAACACUUUGCGGUGUUGACUCUCCAACCUGAACGACACAAAAGUCCACGUGCAGGUGAAAUGAGGCAGCGAUCUCUUGAUGGAGCACCUUUUUAUAGACUUGACUACGGACCGGGAUGGAAGUCGUCCUCUCGCAGCGAAGCUUGAUUUCUCCAAAGCAGAGCCAUAUCACAGAGUUUACCCAUUAGGGAGCCCCCUUUGAUGUGCUAUUAGGAAUAGCCUACCGUAGUAAAGGAUGUAAUACUGCAUGUUCUGUGACAUUUUGGUAGCGGCUAGUCCCUUUUCGUGUGCUUGCGUUUAGUCCUCUUCACUGUAGAUGUUGCCCCUUAUUCAUUGCAGCUGGCGAGCUGUUAACAAUCCAUUCGCAACUGGACUUAAAGCCGGUCCCGAUCUGCUGCUGCGGCAAUUAAAAAGAAGGGGGGGGGGGGCGACGGUUAGAGAAAAGGUUGUCCUGUUUGCUUUUGAGUGGCUUAUCUGGGGGAGAUACAGAGGAGGGACUCUGAAUCAGGGCAUGUGAUGGGUUACAAUCAAAUAGUUUUACAGUGCUGCUUCACAAACAAACAAAAAAAAGACCGGUGAGCUCAUCCAUCCCAACAUUCCAAAGUUGAUUUGAUUUUCUAGUCCCGCUGAUUGAGGAAAUCUUUUUUUUUUUUUUUUGCUGGUGAAUGAAGUGGGCAUGUGUGUCAAUGACAGGGUUCCUUAUUUAGCCUAACGCUGAUUACCUCAUUUACAAAUCUGCAAAUAUACUAUUCUACUGUGUGUAAAGGAGUCAAUGCCAUCACCAGCAGCGUGGCUUCUCCACCUGUGAUGACAACACGAGCAAUGAAGUUGCUCUGUUGAAAUUAGACUAUUUUUAUGACCAGGCAGAAAACACGACGAUAAGACUCAAUUUUAAUUUUUGUGAGGCAAAAAAGGGGCCUCUGAGAUAAAUACAACAGCUACAACAGCUACACCAGUCUUCAUCUGGAGCCUUCGGAUUCUCGUGUGUGCGUUUACGGCGGUCAGUAAAAGGGGGAAAUUUAACGUUGCAGUUGUUAAAACACUGACUGGAACAGCAACUGUUGGCACUUCCAAGAAGUUGAGCCGAAGCCGAGUCUCACAUUUAUUUAAGUGAACGAUCACGUUAGCAUCACUCGCUGUUAUUCAGUAGCAUUUCUCCUACCUCCUUGUUUUGCAGCCGUGAGUAUUGUUUUGUCGCUUCGCCUGUUCUGACUUCAAAAAAAGUAAAACAAAUCUAUUCGCAGUACAGGAAUACAGAUUUAUCAUAAGCAAUGGUAGUAAAACAUUUAAAAAAAGGUGUGCUUGGUUGUGCUGUAUGUGUAUAUGUCUAUUUGAAUAAAUAUUUAUGAGAAGCAUUUAUACGACAAAUUACCACUGGAAUGUGAAGCCAGACAAUGUUAUGAUUAUAAAGAUAGUCUAUCCCCUUUAACAUUCAGUGGCGAAUGGUCAGAGGAGUCAUCUUUUUUGAAAAUAAGCAACUGUGCAUUGGCUUCUUCUUUUUUUUUUGUUGAACACCACGUAUUUCUUUGGAUUCCUCCUGUACGUAUACGUCCCUGUCCAGCCCUUUUUGUCGAGCAUCAUUUCAACGUUUACAGCUUCAUUCUGGGCCAGCGAUCGAUUUUUGCCCUGCAGUUGUAAUGAUACCACACGUGGUCUCAAAGAAGAUUAGCCGGGGUGGAUUCGUAAUUCUGUACGGGGGCGAGUUUGAGCCCCUCGAGCCGUAUGCCUUUUUGAAUCCGUUUGUCCACGCCGAACCAAAUUCCGCUACACAGGCGCCUGUCUUCACACUGCCCUGACGUUUUACAUCCGGUUUGACCACGCGGGGGUACAGGACGAGGUGAAAGGUUUGAGGUUUACUGACCAGGGUCUCCCAUACCAACCCAUCCACCCACACCUGAACCAGGGUGGGUCCGUCCCCACUGCCCCACCCCCCUCCUCCUCCCUUCUCCCUUCCUCACCCACCUAAUGUCACACCUAAACCUCAAGCCAUUCGUUUUUCUGUUUUUGACAAUGCAAUCCUGAAAGCACUUUGCCUUGUUAUUCCUUUGUGUGAACAUGUGAAUGAUGAUUUGUUACAGAAAUGUUAAAUAUGUAAAAGAUCAUUCACUGUUUUGGAAAAACCUGCAUCUGUCUUUCUGACGUUAAAAGGAAGAAGAAGAAAAAACAAACAAUUUAGUGACAUUAAACCUAAAUCUAUUUUAUAAAAUGUUUGCUGCAGCCAAUUGGUCUUGUCAUUCAGUAUUGUGGCUUAGGGUUGUUUGUGUUCAAUAAAGUGCUAUUGCUAAA